CACAGGUGCUGCAUGGCUGUCGUCAGCUCGUGUCGUGAGAUGUUGGGUUAAGUACCCGCAACGAGCGCAACCCUUGUCAUUAGUUGCUACGAAAGGGCACUCUAAUGAGACUGCCGGUGACAAACCGGAGGAAGGUGGGAUGACGUCAGGUCCUCAUGGCCCUUAUAGGUGGGCUACACACGUCAUACAAUGGCUGGUACAAAGGGUUGCCAACCCGCGAGGGGGAGCCAAUCCCAUAAAGCCAGUCGUAGUCCGGAUCGCAGUCUGCAACUCGACUGCGUGAAGUCGGAAUCGCUAGUAAUCGUGGAUCAGCAUGUCACGGUGAAUACGUUCCCGGUCUU
rnacentral:rRNA from 1 species